UGGAAGUCACUUCUGCACCACAUAUGUGGCAUUCACCGGUGGGAGGAGGAUGGUGCUCAGUACACCUGUCAUCACCCAACCCUGACAGAGGUUCAACAGAGGCGCAAAAGGUGGCUGAGACCAGAUUCAUGUGGCACUGAAGGGAUGGGUGUUGGACAAAAAUCUCCUUAGAGACAUGAGGCAGAUGUCACUCUUCAAGCAUACUGGUGUACCAUCAGGUCAUGCUGAAGUAUGCUGAGAAGCGACUACACUUGAGGGCUCAUACCCAACUUGCGAUAGUUGACCAUAAUAGCAACGUUGGCAGACCACAAGAAGGACUACCACGGUACAAAGCUGUAUACUCCUGACAGAGUCAGCAAUUGGUUGCAAAACCCAUUUUUGACAACACCACACAGGCCUUUCAUCAUGACCUUGUUGAUCGUGUGCUGAAGAGGAGAGAGGACAGGAGUGUCUUCUUCUCAGAGACUUUACCCCGUUAUAAACCAGGACACAGGAAAUUCUCCAGAACAUCGCUCCAAUUCCAAGGCCGGACAAGGGUGAUCUGGUCACGCAUACCAAA